GACGAACGCUGGCGGCGUGCUUAACACAUGCAAGUCGAACGACGUGGCGAACGGGUGAGUAAUACGUGGGUAACCUGCCCUCCUUUUUGGGAUAAGCCUUGGAAACGGGGUCUAAUACCGAAUAUCGGGGGAUGGGCUCGCGGCCUAUCAGCUUGUUGGUGGGGUGAUGGCCUACCAAGGCGGUGCCGGGUAGACGGGAUGAGAAGGUGACCGGCGACAUAGAGACUGAGAUACGGCCGAGAGUACGAAGCGGGGCAGAAGAGGGGGCUAUUGCACAAUGGGCGAAGUACUGAUGCAGCGACGACGCGUGGGGGAUGAAGGCUUUCAGGUUGUAAACGUCUUGCGCUAGCGAACGGGUAGGUGGAGAAGAAGCGCCGGCUAACUACGUGCCAGCAGCCGCGGUAAUUC
rnacentral:rRNA from 1 species